UGCGGAGGGAUCAUUACACAAAUAUGAAGGCGGGCUGGAACCUCUCGGGGUUACAGCCUUGCUGAAUUAUUCACCCUUGUCUUUUGCGUACUUCUUGUUUCCUUGGUGGGUUCGCCCACCACUAGGACAAACAUAAACCUUUUGUAAUUGCAAUCAGCGUCAGUAACAAAUUAAUAAUUACAACUUUCAACAACGGAUCUCUUGGUUCUGGCAUCGAUGAAGAACGCAGCGAAAUGCGAUAAGUAGUGUGAAUUGCAGAAUUCAGUGAAUCAUCGAAUCUUUGAACGCACAUUGCGCCCUUUGGUAUUCCAAAGGGCAUGCCUGUUCGAGCGUCAUUUGUACCCUCAAGCUUUGCUUGGUGUUGGGCGUCUUGUCUCUAGCUUUGCUGGAGACUCGCCUUAAAGUAAUUGGCAGCCGGCCUACUGGUUUCGGAGCGCAGCACAAGUCGCACUCUCUAUCAGCAAAGGUCUAGCAUCCAUUAAGCCUUUUUUUCAACUUUUGA
rnacentral:rRNA from 1 species